UUCCCUGGAAAGAAAUAGGAACAUAGGUUUAUAGCAGCUGGUACAGUUUUUCUGAUUUACUAACUUAGAUUUUUUUUUUUAACUGACUUGACAGGCAUAAGAUUCAAAGAAGCUCUUUCCUAGAUAUUAAAUUGAACUUCUGGAUGAUAUCCUUUCUGGAAUCUUUCCAACAUUUGUCCAUAUGAAGAUACUUGCAAAUUCUUGGACUGAAAUAUUACAAAUUUAAUAGAUAUUGUGAGAUACAAUGUGUUUAGAAUCGGUACUCAGGCAGAUAAGUUUUCUUUUCUGUGUCUAAAUUUGGCUACACAAACUUGAAUUUUUUUACUAAUAUACACUGAAAAGUGUUAUUUUUUAUUAUUAUUAUUAUUAUUAUUAUCUUUUGCAUGAAAACACACAAUCUCUUUCCUUUGAGCACAUUUCUAUUCAGGGUUGUGCAGGGUUUUAGUAUUCUUCCUCUCAGAUUUGUCUUUCUAUGUACAUAACCCCUUUCCACCCCAAAAAAUUACAGUUUGUUUUUUAAGUGAAAGAAGAAAGGAGAUUGAUGCUCCUGGUAGCCUUGAGAUUAAAAUUGAUCUUGAAUGGAGUGAGGAUGGUUUGCUAAUGAAAUUUCUUUCAGAGCUCGAUGUGAAUUAGCAGUGAGCUAAACCCAAAAGCUAUCUUGCUUCAGCAGAUAUUGAAUUGAGUGGGAAACAAACAAGAUUUAAGUAUAAGUUUGAGAACUAAGUAUCAUUGCAAUCAGAGUCCACACGCUUCUCACUCAUUACACUCAUAAUAGUGAUCUAGUGAUCCAAGGGAUGGAACACCUCCCCUGUGGGGACAGACUGUGAGAGCUGGAGCUGUUCAGCAUGGAGAAGGCUCUCGUCUUUGUCGUGUCUGUAAGGUGUCACUCAAUGGUACCACAAACUGAUCUGCACUAUCAGCGCUGACACAGUCCUUUCUUCCCACCUAGCGACAGGCCUGUUCAAAGGCACAAAUACUUGUGCAAUGUAGUGAUGUUCUGGUGGAAGGACUGGAUCAGGCCAUAUGCUUUUUACUGUUUACUGAGUUAGUUUUCUGUACUCACGCUGGUUCCCCAAGCAGCUGAGCUCAUGACUACUCAAAGGUAGUCUCAUUGCCUUUUCCACUUGCUCAUAUCUUUGCCCCUUCCUCCCUCAUCCUUUGAUGCUGUUACUCAACCAGCGGAUAGUCAAAGAUCAUAACUUUCCCUUACGUAGAUUCCCCUUCUCCGUGAUUCUUAUGUGUGUGAAUUUGUAUCACUUAACUGAUGAAAACAACGUAUCUUCGUGGGGAGUACUACUUUGUAUAACUUUAACUGAAAUAGAAGUAGUCACAGUAUGUAUUAAGUAGAUAGCUUGGAAGUUGAAAGAAAGGAGAUGUGAGAUGAACGGGAUUUCCCUUUUUUCUCUAGGCCUCAUCCAAAACCCGCUAUUUCCUUCCCUUUCUGAGAAUUAAGUAAGAAGUGAGUUUCUCGUUAUUAUCUCUAGCAGUAAGCAUACAUAAACUGAGAUCUCUUUUGAAAUAGCUGCUGUACAGAACAACAAAAAGAGGGUCUUAAAUGCUAUACCUUGUAAAGUAAGUAGAUAGAAAAAAGGACAGUAGACUGUGAGAGUGUAUUUCUCAUGAUACAGACGAAAUGCUAAGUCACGGCUUGAAGCAGUGAUUGAGCACCUGGUGGGAAGGCAGAGUCAACCCAGGGGAGCUCAGGUGCAUGCAAUGCACCUGAGUGAUGGGAAGGGGCGGAGCCAGGAUCCACCCCUUCCCAGACCUCAUUUAAAGGUUGGCAGUGGAGGUGAGGUAUCUGACUGGAGAUUCAUGAAUACUGGAGGCCUUCUAAAGCAACACAACAUGAGGCCAAUGAAGAUCUGAGUCUUGUUUGUUCCAUCUAAGCAGCGUGUUGGCUGCUCCUUUCCUCAGCUGUCUGCACUUAUUUCUCUGAAUGUGAGAAGACAUGGAAGAUGCUGAGGUAGCUGGAUGAAGGUAAUCCUCUACUGAUCCUGUUCAUCAAGUCUGCCUCAAUAUAUUUUAUAAUAAAAAAACAUGCUUUGCAAACCCUACUGCAGGACGUGUUAGUGGAAGCACAACAGUACUAUUUCCAACCUCUAGUGAGUACCGCCAAAGCCUUUUGGAGACUUUUUUUUUUGUGAGGUCUGACUGGAAUAGGAUACCUUACAGAUUCAGAAUGUGCAAAUUUUUAUGUAAUUUUCCUUUGCUCGCUGAUCUUAGUGUGCGGCUGCACCAAUAUCUGCACGGUCACCGGCAGCGGGCUGUAAGCCUGUGCUGCAAAGCUGUGAUUAGGAACGGAGAGGAGAGGAAACUCUAAAACCACUUUGCCUUUGGAGAGAUAGUAACAGCAAACUGCACCUGCAUAGCCCUGUAGGAAUUUUGGGCUUGUCCUUCUGGAUGUUCAUGUAUGUGCCAAUCUUUUGGCACGCUAGUAGCCCUAGUGACAUGAGUAUAAUCACACAAACGUGAACGGUUAUGCCUGUAGAUAUGGAGCUUGCUUUUUCCUGUUUAUGAAUGCACUGGUGGGUGAAACUAUUGAAUAAAUAUUAAUAAGGUUGGUAAGCGUAAGAACAGACAAAUGAAA